GGGCUCGUGGUCUAGCGGUUAUGACGUCGCCCUUACAAGGCGAAUAUCGGCGGUUCAAAUCCGCCCGGGCCCA
rnacentral:tRNA from 1 species